CCGCAAAUUGGGUUGCGCGCGGUUUUUUUAAAAAAAUGGAAAGUCGCUUUUGGCAAAGAAUCAGUUACACCAACUGAUACAAUCUCGCCUCCAUCGACCUCUGACCUUUUUGAGGCAUCAACAUCCACAUCGUCCGUACCUCCUGAGUUCGAGAGCACUCUUCAAUUGAAACGACAGAAUACGUUUUUGGGGCAAUUGUCAUAUGCUUUAAAAACGCGCACGAUAAAACUGCAAGACGUUCUUGAAAAAGACUGUAAUGGAAGAGGAAUAAUCAAGACGUAUAAAAAAGCAAAAUCACUUACAAGACAAUUUCGAAUGACAAUAGUUGAUAUUGUUUUAACAUAAUUAUUGAAUGAAGUGAACCGAUUGACAAAUGAGGAUCUGGAGUACCUCGCGCAAGAGAUCGUGAAAGUUUUCCCUACCGAGCGGACAGCAACGUAUUUCGUUCCCGCAGUGAAAAAAAAACCAAUCGCUACAUGAUAAAUGCUCUAUAGCACGAGGAAAAUUGGUGGAUAAAUACCAGAAUAAAAUUCGCAUACUAAAAGUCAUCAACGAGUUCUCAAGUUCCAAAGAAUCCCGAAAGAAUCAAACAAGUAUCGCUGUCGAUGAAGCUGUUCUUGAGGCUGUGAAGUGGCUGAAAAAUCAUGUAGUGCCUUGGGAAAUCGUAGUCUCUAACUGGAAACUGACGUCUAAGUAUCGCCGCGAGUCCAUCAAAUAAAGCGAUGACAAUAAACUAUGCUCGAUUUUCGAAAACUGGCCAAUAUUGAAGCUUCCUCAGGCGUAUUCGUUGAUCGAACAAGACUACAUCGACCUUCAACUUACAGAAAAACAAGUGUCAAUCGGAAUUUGGCGAGGAUUCUUUGAGAGACUAUUAGCUUGCAGACCACCGAAAAAAGACGACGACAACGCUAAAGCUUUAAGAGAAUGUCUUGAACAUGGACAGGUUAACGAAGAUGCAAAAGUCGUCCUACAAUUAAAACAUAUCGCUCAUCUUGUGCCUCCGAGAGGCUUAUUACGUUUACGAAAAAAAAAAACAGUGGAAACCAUCGAUUGUCGAAUGCAAGGACAGCAUUGUAACGUUCGUCACUUCGGUGGCUGACAUUACGAAAAUUCAAGAAGACCGGAGAAAAGUGGCUAGCGAUCUCGGCAUCACAAUCCAACCUUUCAUUAUUGCUGUCGGUGCUUCAUAUUCAGAAGUAACCGACUGCUUCGUAAGUGUUGACCACAUAUUAUACAAAGUUCCUUCUGCGCUCAAAGCGAUAGACCUGUGCUUUCAAGUAUUUCACGUUUUUGACCUUGUAAUGAGGAGAAAUUGUAGGAGAAACCCCCCACCCCCUACUCCAUGCCAAAUUUCGCUAGACCGUGUGGAAGGGAGUGGGUGAAUUGAGCCAGAGUUCUAAAGUCAGUUAGGAAGCGGCCGCCCAUGCGCUAGUAGAUCACGGAGUUACAAUCCAGAAGUAGUACAAUAAAAUAUCCAGUGGAUCGUCGAACGAAUGGCGGAACACGCACAGGACACCUCCAUCAUCUAUACCGUGGUUACUCUACCUCAAGUCAGCAUUCUGGUGAAAAGGGAGGAUCGCCGUGCUUCUUCCGUUGAUUCGUAUACUAUACUAUAUAUACAGGGUGUCCCAUUUUAAUCUUACACCUGACUUUUCUCGGAAAAUAUUGCUCGGAUCAAAUAUUGUGUGGAACAAAACUUUUAGGGGUUGA